rnacentral:rRNA from 1 species
GGUCAAGUGAAGAAGCGCAUACGGUGGAUGCCUUGGCAGUCAGAGGCGAUGAAAGACGUGGUAGCCUGCGAAAAGCUUCGGGGAGUCGGCAAACAGACUUUGAUCCGGAGAUCUCUGAAUGGGGGAACCCACCUAGGAUAACCUAGGUAUCUUGUACUGAAUCCAUAGGUGCAAGAGGCGAACCAGGGGAACUGAAACAUCUAAGUACCCUGAGGAAAAGAAAUCAACCGAGAUUCCCUUAGUAGUGGCGAGCGAACGGGGAUUAGCCCUUAAGCUUCAUUGAUUUUAGCGGAACGCUCUGGAAAGUGCGGCCAUAGUGGGUGAUAGCCCCGUACGCGAAAGGAUCUUUGAAGUGAAAUCGAGUAGGACGGAGCACGAGAAACUUUGUCUGAACAUGGGGGGACCAUCCUCCAAGGCUAAAUACUACUGACUGACCGAUAGUGAACCAGUACCGUGAGGGAAAGGCGAAAAGAACCCCGGAGAGGGGAGUGAAAUAGAACCUGAAACCGUAUGCGUACAAGCAGUGGGAGCCUACUUGUUAGGUGACUGCGUACCUUUUGUAUAAUGGGUCAGCGACUUAUAUUCAGUGGCAAGCUUAACCGUAUAGGGUAGGCGUAGCGAAAGCGAGUCUUAAUAGGGCGUUUAGUCGCUGGGUAUAGACCCGAAACCGGGCGAUCUAUCCAUGAGCAGGUUGAAGGUUAGGUAACACUGACUGGAGGACCGAACCCACUCCCGUUGAAAAGGUAGGGGAUGACUUGUGGAUCGGAGUGAAAGGCUAAUCAAGCUCGGAGAUAGCUGGUUCUCCUCGAAAGCUAUUUAGGUAGCGCCUCAUGUAUCACUCUGGGGGGUAGAGCACUGUUUCGGCUAGGGGGUCAUCCCGACUUACCAAACCGAUGCAAACUCCGAAUACCCAGAAGUGCCGAGCAUGGGAGACACACGGCGGGUGCUAACGUCCGUCGUGAAAAGGGAAACAACCCAGACCGCCAGCUAAGGUCCCAAAGUUGUGGUUAAGUGGUAAACGAUGUGGGAAGGCUUAGACAGCUAGGAGGUUGGCUUAGAAGCAGCCAUCCUUUAAAGAAAGCGUAAUAGCUCACUAGUCGAGUCGGCCUGCGCGGAAGAUGUAACGGGGCUCAAACCACACACCGAAGCUGCGGGUGUCACGUAAGUGACGCGGUAGAGGAGCGUUCUGUAAGCCUGUGAAGGUGAGUUGAGAAGCUUGCUGGAGGUAUCAGAAGUGCGAAUGCUGACAUGAGUAACGACAAUGGGUGUGAAAAACACCCACGCCGAAAGACCAAGGGUUCCUGCGCAACGUUAAUCGACGCAGGGUUAGUCGGUUCCUAAGGCGAGGCUGAAAAGCGUAGUCGAUGGGAAACAGGUUAAUAUUCCUGUACUUCUGGUUACUGCGAUGGAGGGACGGAGAAGGCUAGGCCAGCUUGGCGUUGGUUGUCCAAGUUUAAGGUGGUAGGCUGAAAUCUUAGGUAAAUCCGGGGUUUCAAGGCCGAGAGCUGAUGACGAGUCGUCUUUUAGAUGACGAAGUGGUUGAUGCCAUGCUUCCAAGAAAAGCUUCUAAGCUUCAGGUAACCAGGAACCGUACCCCAAACCGACACAGGUGGUCGGGUAGAGAAUACCAAGGCGCUUGAGAGAACUCGGGUGAAGGAACUAGGCAAAAUGGCACCGUAACUUCGGGAGAAGGUGCGCCGGCUAGGGUGAAGGAUUUACUCCGUAAGCUCUGGCUGGUCGAAGAUACCAGGCCGCUGCGACUGUUUAUUAAAAACACAGCACUCUGCAAACACGAAAGUGGACGUAUAGGGUGUGACGCCUGCCCGGUGCCGGAAGGUUAAUUGAUGGGGUUAGCGCAAGCGAAGCUCUUGAUCGAAGCCCCGGUAAACGGCGGCCGUAACUAUAACGGUCCUAAGGUAGCGAAAUUCCUUGUCGGGUAAGUUCCGACCUGCACGAAU